GUGUAUUUUAGAUGUAUGUCUGCAGGUAGGGACUGCCUUGUUUGACAUGAAUGUAAGCCUUUGGGGGUGUGUCUGAAAAUCCACUGUACAAACCCUCUAAAUAAAUAAUAAUAAAUAGUAAAGCCAAUGUAAACAUAACCUGUCCCCAUGCAUAAACAGAAGUUAUCUAACGAUGACUACCAACUGUUGGAUGUUGUUUAAAAUUGUGGCUGUUGGGAUUCAGCUGCUGCCGUGGUCGGGGGAACCGCUGUUGGGGUGGGAUUGUUCUGUGGUCUUUCAUUUCUCUGGUAGUUUCUAGGGAGAGCUGUAUUGUAGCCUCCUUCCAAAGCUGAGUUGUUUGUUUCAGCUCAUGAAACCUCUCGGGUGCAAGUAAAUAUUCAGUAUUUCCUUGAAUUUGGUGUGAGUCAGAGGAACAUGUUUUACUAAGAAAUGGGGGUGGGGGUGAACCCUGUAAACGUCCCAGUCGGGAUGUGCGCAGAAUCCGGCCAAGCUCUCAAGAAAUUGGGUCUCAUUUCGCAGAAGAGUGGAGAUAAAAACUCACAGGGGGAAGCUUAUCAGCCGCACGCACCCGGAGAGGAGGAAGUGGGGGGCUGGCCUGCAUUUUGAUGCUGCGCGUAGCAGCUGAGAAUGGUUUGCUGACUCUAAAACAAACAUGGAAACUCAGAAAGGAAAAGUAGCCAUGUUUGGCCCAAAAGAAAAAAAAAUCAAAAACCAUAUUCGGGCCGGUGGAGGAUUAAGGCAAGUGGGGCACGGUCCUCCAGUCUCUGUCUGCCUUCCGCCAGCCCUCACCUGCCUGCCUUCCAGCUUACAGCCAGUCUGAGGGGUGGCCCUGCCUGUCAGCUUCCCCCUCCGUAGUCUCAGUGACCCCCCUUGUAGAACUUGGCAGGGAGGAAGCGGAGGAUGGGGACAAGACUGGAACAAAUUGGCCCUGCCUGCCAUUGGCUUUGGUUCCCUCAGCUGCUUGGGCUUCCUGACUUCUGCCCCACGAGUCGCGACGGGCACCAGCCACCGCCACUGAUUAGGGUGGUGCCUUUUAUUAGGCCAACCAGAACACUGCAAAACAGUGUGCAAGCUUCACAAGUUCUCCAGAACUCUUCAUCAGGCUAGAUGAUAAGCAAAGCAAAUUUUGGGGCAGGGGAGAGAGAGAGAGAGAAAUCUGGCUGGAAUGUGUCCCUGAACUCUGAUAUUGCCUUUAGCUUGCCUGGAUGUAGGAUAGAGAGAGAUGUGUGUUGUACAAAGGUACCUCGCUGGAUCAUCACUUUGUAGUGGUGAGUGGGCUUGCGUGUUCCAAUUAUUGUUAUUAUUAUUAUUUUAUUAUUAUUAUUUAUUGUACUUAUAUACCGCCCCAUAGCCAAAGCCUAUGAGCAAUGCCGUCAGGAGUCAUGUACUUCCAGCAGGGUCACCCAUGGUGGUAAGGUCAAGGGAGAGGAACCAGACAAAGAACGAUCCAAGAAUGUCGUCAACGGCAGAACAGGCGGAGGAUAACAAUGUGUACGUUACAACGGCUGUGAAGGCGGAUGAAGGCUGCAGCAGAUAAAGGACUUCCAAUCGUCAUGGUACCCAUGCCAUUGGAUCAAAGUCUUUUUCUGUCAAGAUUGUGUGUUGAUCGUGGUGCACCGAUCUCUCCACAUAAAACAAAUUCACACACAGGCGUCUUCCAUAACAAAAGUCCCAUGGCGAUCAGUGAAUGAUGACUGGGGCAGGACUGUGAAAUCCAGAAGCCUCUAGUCAUGAACUGGUACAUCUGCGGUGGAUACAGAUUCAGACGGAUCCAUUGUUAAAGACUUUAUUUUGGAAGACAAUUUUACUCGGUCAUGAGUGAUCGCCAAGAAGAAGUACAUAGAUGUGGCUGGACUCCCAACUCUCUUCUUCUUCGUCUUUAUCAUCAUCAUCAUCAUCACCCCUGACCAUUGGCUGCUGCAGCAGAUGAGAGCCAGAGUCCAACAAAAUAUGGAGGGCACUCCAGUGGCUGCUUUUGCUGUGAGGGACGAGGACUGUUCGAGGAACUAAGGAUCCAGUCUGAAGCCCCUGCUGCAGCCGCUUGACUGAAGUUCGCAAACCAGGCUGAUCAUCCUGAAUAAGCAGAGCUCCCUGCGGUAGCUGGGCAUCCAAGCCCCAUUAAAGUUGGGGCACCUGCCUAUGCCUUCAGAAGCAAGUUCCUCUUCUGCACCCCCCGCCCAACAAAGAGGCCAGAGUCCUCCUGAAAUGCCUGCUAACAGCAGCAUGCUGUUUGGAAAGCUACAGUCAGUUACUGUCCGCCCCUAAAAGGGAAAAGGCACCCUGGAUAUGCUCAGAAGCAUUUUGUCCGUUGUCUUACCCAGCUCCCCAAACACUAGAAGGCAAGCUCUUCCCAGCCCUUCUUUCUGCUUUGGGGUGUGGUGGCCUGGAAGGUAACGGCUCACACUUCCUUGACACAACAUACCAACCCAAAACACAGCUAUCGUUUGACAUUCGUACUUAUCCAAAGUUUUUCCUGAUGUUCAGGCAAAACCUGGCUUCCUGCAACUUGAGCCCAUUAUUCCGUGUCCUGCACUCUGGGACGAUCGAGAAGAGAUCCCGGCCCUCCUCUGUGUGACAGCCUUUCACGUCCUUGAGCAGUGCUAUCAUCUCUCCCCUCAGUCUUCUCUUCUCAAGGCUGAACAUGCCCCGUUUUCAGUCUCUCCAUGUACCACUUCCCUGUGGGGAACUACCAGGCGCAGGCCACGCAGAAUUGAGCCCGCCCCACCUCCAGUGACGUCGGCUGGUUGACGGGCAGGCGUGGGUUGGGGGAAACGGCCUCGCUGGCCAAACUGAACCCCCUGGCGGGCCACGACUGGCCCACAGUAUGGAGAUUUCCCACCCGUUUUAUUUAUCUGAAUUAUUUAAUCAUUAUUUAAUUAUAUUAUUAUUAUGUAACUAUUUUAAUUAUGGAGGUUUACAUUUUGAUGCCGACGUCAUUUUUCUGUAUGCUUGUAGACCGCUCCGCUUUGGCACAAAGCAGAUUAUAAAUGGAUAAAUAACCCUGCUAACGACAACUCCGAGGACAA